GUAGGUGGCAAGCGUUGUCCGGAAUUAUUGGGCGUAAAGCGCGCGCAGGUGGUUUUUUAAGUCUGAUGUGAAAGCCCACGGCUCAACCGUGGAGGGUCAUUGGAAACUGGAGAACUUGAGUGCAGAAGAGGAGAGCGGAAUUCCACGUGUAGCGGUGAAAUGCGUAGAGAUGUGGAGGAACACCAGUGGCGAAGGCGGCUCUCUGGUCUGUAACUGACGCUGAGGCGCGAAAGCGUGGGGGGGAGCAAACAGGAUUAGAUACCCUGGUAGUCCACGCCGUAAACCGAUGAGUGCUAAGUGUUAGAGGGUUUCCCGCCCUUUAGUGCUGCAGCAAACGCAUUAAGCACUCCGCCUGGGAGUACGGUCGCAGACUG
rnacentral:rRNA from 1 species